rnacentral:rRNA from 1 species
AGCCAUGUAUGUGCCAAGUUCAUACGUUAAACGUGAGACUGCGGACGGCUCAGUAUAUCAGUGAUUAUCUGUUUGAUUGUUUCUCCCAUUGGAUAACCGUGGGAAAUCUAGAGCUAAUACAUGUAGUAAUUGGCGUAUCGCAAGGUGCGUCAUAGCAUUUAUUAGAUUAAACCAUCUACUACUCUGUAGUAAGACGAAUCUAGAUAACUUUGCUGAUCGUAUGGCCUCGUGCCGGCGACGUUUCAAUUGAGUUUCUGCCCUAUCAACUUGUUGGUAAGGUAUUGGCUUACCAAGGUUGCAACGGGUAACGGGGAAUCAGGGUUCGAUUCCGGAGAGGGAGCCUGAGAAACGGCUACCACAUCCAAGGAAGGCAACAGGCGCGCAAAUUACCCAAUCUAGACAGUAGGAGGUGGUGAAGAGAAUUACUAAGUGGUGGUUCAAUGAACUACCAACUUGGAAUGGACGUAACUUAAGCAAUUCGUUGAUAAACAACUGGAGGGCAAGUCCUGGUGCCAGCAGCCGCGGUAAUUCCAGCUCCAGUAGUUUGCUUUAAAGUUGUUGCGUUUAAAACGCUCGUAGUUGGAUCACGCAACGGUGUUCGGUAAUCAUAUCAUUAGACUAGAAUGUUCGGAGUGUGAAUCGAAAGAUUAGACUUUGAACUUUAGUCUGUGAUUGAUAUAAAAGCUGACCGCCGUUAAUUGCAUGUGAGAUGGAUUGUUGACCUUUAGUGAGUCGGUAAUCCUGUCUUGCGGAGUGUGCCUUGAAUAAAACAGAGUGCUUAAAGCAGGUUUACGCCUGAAUGUUAUAGCAUGGAACGAACAAUAGUGAUCACGUGCGUGAUUUUUAAUAACGAUAGGCCUAUGGUUUGUUGUUGUUGGAGUCGCGUACAUCACCCACCAAAAUAUGGCUGUUGGUUCCAUAUACGGUGAUGAUUAAAAGGAGCGGUUGGGGGCAUCGGUAUUUGGCCGCGAGAGGUGAAAUUCUUGGACCGGCCAAGGACUAACAAAUGCAAAGGCACUUGUCCAGACCGUUUCCAUUAAUCAAGAACGAAAGUGGGAGGUUCGAAGACGAUCAGAUACCGUCCUAGUUCCCACUGUAAACUAUGCCGACCCGGGAUCAGCUUAGAGAUGUUACAAGCUCUAAGUUGGUCCCCCUGGGAAACCUCAAGUUUUUCGGUUACGGGGAGAGUAUGGUCGCAAGGCUGAAACUUAAAGGAAUUGACGGAAGGGCACCACCAGGGGUGGAGCCUGCGGCUUAAUUUGACUCAACACGGGGAAACUUACCUGGUCCGGACAUCGAUAGGAUACACAGACUGAUAGAUCUUUGUUGAUGCGAUGAGUGGUGGUGCAUGGCCGUUCUUAGUUCGUGGAGUGAUCUGUCAGCUUAAUUGCGGUAACGAACGAGACCACAGUCUCCAUUUAAGAAAUAGAAAAAGAUAGCUUAUUGUGUAGGCUUGUCCUUAACAGUAGGUUGUUGCAGCUAAGAGUGCGGCCGUAUGGUGACGUUUUUGAGGAGCAAUCCGAUGAGGCGAAGUUGUGCGGUGGUGCUUUUUCCUUUCUAUUAAGCAGUAGUUGGUUUCGGCUGGUUACUGCCUUAUGGAGAGACAACGAGGUAU